rnacentral:rRNA from 1 species
CUUCCGUAGGGUGAACCUGCGGAAGGAUCAUUACCGAGUGCGGGUCCUUUGGGCCCAACCUCCCAUCCGUGUCUAUUAUACCCUGUUGCUUCGGCGGGCCCGCCGCUUGUCGGCCGCCGGGGGGGCGCCUUUGCCCCCCGGGCCCGUGCCCGCCGGAGACCCCAACACGAACACUGUCUGAAAGCGUGCAGUCUGAGUUGAUUGAAUGCAAUCAGUUAAAACUUUCAACAAUGGAUCUCUUGGUUCCGGCAUCGAUGAAGAACGCAGCGAAAUGCGAUAACUAAUGUGAAUUGCAGAAUUCAGUGAAUCAUCGAGUCUUUGAACGCACAUUGCGCCCCCUGGUAUUCCGGGGGGCAUGCCUGUCCGAGCGUCAUUGCUGCCCUCAAGCCCGGCUUGUGUGUUGGGUCGCCGUCCCCCUCUCCGGGGGGACGGGCCCGAAAGGCAGCGGCGGCACCGCGUCCGAUCCUCGAGCGUAUGGGGCUUUGUCACAUGCUCUGUAGGAUUGGCCGGCGCCUGCCGACGUUUUCCAACCAUUUUUUCCAGGUUGACCUCGGAUCAGGUAGGGAUACCCGCUGAACUUAAGCAUAUCAAUAAGCGGAGGAA